rnacentral:rRNA from 1 species
UUCGUAGGUGACCUGCGGAAGGAUCAUUAGAAAUAUCUGGGAUGCUCAAUAUGAGUUCCCAACAAAACACAUUCAUGCGUAUUCUUCCGUGUGUUUCCCCAGACCAAUGGCCAGUACGUACCAUCUUGGCCCAUAACAGGGUAUCCAGCUGGUGUACAGCCGCGUGUGUCUGGGAAGGCCCAAAUUGGCAAAACUUUAUGUUAACUUACUGUCUGACAAGGCCAUGUGCCCCUGUAUUUUAAAUAUUUUAAAACUUUCAACAACGGAUCUCUUGGCUCUCGCAUCGAUGAAGAACGCAGCGAAAUGCGAUAAGUAAUGUGAAUUGCAGAAUUCAGUGAAUCAUCGAAUCUUUGAACGCACAUUGCGCCCUUUGGUAUUCCUUAGGGCAUGCCUGUUCGAGCGUCACUAAAAACCCCAUCACAUUAUGUGUGGUAUUGGCAGAAGUGGGUACUCCCACCCUGCUGGAAUCAAUAGGCUGGAAAAGUAGAUCGUAGCAACAGACUUUCAGAGUGUUUUGAAAUGCUAAAUUAGUUUGAAGCUGGUCGGAACCCCAGGCCAUUUGACCCCCAUUCUGCACAAAGCAGUAAGGUUGACCUCGGAUCAGGUAGGGAUACCCGCUGAACUUAAGCAUAUCAA